rnacentral:rRNA from 4 species
UUAAGUUAGAAAGGGCGCACGGUGAAUGCCUUGGCACUAGGAGCCGAUGAAGGACGGGACUAACACCGAUAUGCUUCGGGGAGCUGUAAGUGAGCUUUGAUCCGGAGAUUUCCGAAUGGGGAAACCCACUGUUCGUAAUGGAACAGUAUCUUUAUCUGAAUACAUAGGAUAUUGAAGGCAGACCCGGGGAACUGAAACAUCUAAGUACCCGGAGGAAGAGAAAGCAAAUGCGAUUUCCUGAGUAGCGGCGAGCGAAACGGAAUUAGCCCAAACCAAGAGGCUUGCCUCUUGGGGUUGUAGGACACUCUAUACGGAGUUACAAAGGAACGAAGUAAAUGAAGCGACCUGGAAAGGUCCGUCGAAGAAGGUAACAACCCUGUAGUUGAAACUUCGUUCCCUCUUGAGUGGAUCCUGAGUACGGCGGAACACGUGAAAUUCCGUCGGAAGCUGGGAGGACCAUCUCCCAAGGCUAAAUACUACCUAGUGACCGAUAGUGAACCAGUACCGUGAGGGAAAGGUGAAAAGCACCCCGGAAGGGGAGUGAAAGAGAUCCUGAAACCGUGUGCCUACAAGUAGUCAGAGCCCGUUAACGGGUGAUGGCGUGCCUUUUGUAGAAUGAACCGGCGAGUUACGAUCCCAUGCAAGGUUAAGCUGAUAAGGCGGAGCCGUAGCGAAAGCGAGUCUGAAUAGGGCGUUUAGUAUGUGGUUGUAGACCCGAAACCAGGUGAUCUACCCAUGUCCAGGGUGAAGUUCAGGUAACACUGAAUGGAGGCCCGAACCCACGCACGUUGAAAAGUGCGGGGAUGAGGUGUGGGUAGCGGAGAAAUUCCAAUCGAACCUGGAGAUAGCUGGUUCUCUCCGAAAUAGCUUUAGGGCUAGCCUCAUGUUGUGAGAGUCUUGGAGGUAGAGCACUGAUUGGACUAGGGGCCCCCAACGGGUUACCGAAUUCAGUCAAACUCCGAAUGCCAAAGACUUAUCCAUGGGAGUCAGACUGCGAGUGAUAAGAUCCGUAGUCAAAAGGGAAACAGCCCAGACCACCAGCUAAGGUCCCCAAGUAUACGUUAAGUGGAAAAGGAUGUGGAGUUGCUUAGACAACCAGGAUGUUGGCUUAGAAGCAGCCACCAUUUAAAGAGUGCGUAAUAGCUCACUGGUCGAGUGACUCUGCGCCGAAAAUGUACCGGGGCUAAACGUAUCACCGAAGCUGUGGAUUGACAUCUUUGAUGUCAGUGGUAGGAGAGCGUUCUAAGUGCAGCGAAGUCAGACCGUAAGGACUGGUGGAGCGCUUAGAAGUGAGAAUGCCGGUAUGAGUAGCGAAAGACAAGUGAGAAUCUUGUCCACCGAAUGCCUAAGGUUUCCUGAGGAAGGCUCGUCCGCUCAGGGUUAGUCGGGACCUAAGCCGAGGCUGAAAAGCGUAGGCGAUGGCCAACAGGUUGAUAUUCCUGUACCACCUCCCCGCCGUUUGAGUAAUGGGGGGACGCAGUAGGAUAGGGUAAGCGCGCUGCUGGAUAUGCGCGUUCAAGCAGUUAGGCUGAUGAGUAGGCAAAUCCGCUCAUCAUAAAGGCUGAGCUGUGAUGACGAGGGAAUUAUAGUACCGAAGUUCCUGAUUCCACACUGCCAAGAAAAGCCUCUAGCGAGGCGGGAGGUGCCCGUACCGCAAACCGACACAGGUAGGCGAGGAGAGAAUCCUAAGGUGAUCGAGAGAACUCUCGUUAAGGAACUCGGCAAAAUGACCCCGUAACUUCGGGAGAAGGGGUGCUCUGGUAGGGUGUAUAGCCCGAGAGAGCCGCAGUGAAUAGGCCCAGGCGACUGUUUAGCAAAAACACAGGUCUCUGCGAAGCCGCAAGGCGAAGUAUAGGGGCUGACGCCUGCCCGGUGCUGGAAGGUUAAGAGGAGGGGUUAUCCUUUGGGAGAAGCUCUGAAUCGAAGCCCCAGUAAACGGCGGCCGUAACUAUAACGGUCCUAAGGUAGCGAAAUUCCUUGUCGGGUAAGUUCCGACCCGCACGAAAGGCGUAACGAUCUGGGCACUGUCUCAACGAGAGACUCGGUGAAAUUAUAGUACCUGUGAAGAUGCAGGUUACCCGCGACAGGACGGAAAGACCCCGUGGAGCUUUACUGUAGCCUGAUAUUGAAUUUUGGUACAGCUUGUACAGGAUAGGUAGGAGCCUGAGAAGCCGGAGCGCUAGCUUCGGUGGAGGCGUCGGUGGGAUACUACCCUGGCUGUAUUGAAAUUCUAACCCGCGGCCCUGAUCGGGCCGGGAGACAGUGUCAGGUGGGCAGUUUGACUGGGGCGGUCGCCUCCUAAAAUGUAACGGAGGCGCCCAAAGGUUCCCUCAGAAUGGUUGGAAAUCAUUCGUAGAGUGUAAAGGCACAAGGGAGCUUGACUGCGAGACCUACAAGUCGAGCAGGGACGAAAGUCGGGCUUAGUGAUCCGGUGGUUCCGCAUGGAAGGGCCAUCGCUCAACGGAUAAAAGCUACCCCGGGGAUAACAGGCUUAUCUCCCCCAAGAGUCCACAUCGACGGGGAGGUUUGGCACCUCGAUGUCGGCUCAUCGCAUCCUGGGGCUGUAGUCGGUCCCAAGGGUUGGGCUGUUCGCCCAUUAAAGCGGUACGCGAGCUGGGUUCAGAACGUCGUGAGACAGUUCGGUCCCUAUCCGUCGUGGGCGUAGGAAAUUUGAGAGGAGCUGUCCUUAGUACGAGAGGACCGGGAUGGACACACCGCUGGUGUACCAGUUGUCUUGCCAAAGGCAUCGCUGGGUAGCUAUGUGUGGACGGGAUAAGUGCUGAAAGCAUCUAAGCAUGAAGCCCCCCUCAAGAUGAGAUUUCCCAUAGCGUAAGCUAGUAAGAUCCCUGAAAGAUGAUCAGGUUGAUAGGUCAGAGGUGGAAGCGUGGCGACAUGUGUAGCUGACUGAUACUAAUCGAUCGAGGACUUAACCAA